rnacentral:rRNA from 1 species
AGCAGCCGCGGUAAUUCCAGCUCCAAUAGCGUAUAUCAAAGUUGUUGCAGUUAAAAAGCUCGUAGUUGAAUUUCGGGGUUAGCAGGUCGGUCGUGCCAUCGGUAUGAACUGGUCUCGCUGAUCCCUCCCUCUUGACGAACUGUGAUGCCAUUAAUUUGGUGUCGCAGGGAAUCAGGACUGUUACUUUGAAAAAAUUAGAGUGUUUAAAGCAGGCUCACGCUUGAAUACAUUAGCAUGGAAUAAUGAAAUAGGACGUUUGAUUCUAUUUUGUUGGUUUCUAGGAUCGACGUAAUGAUUAAUAGGGAUAGUUGGGGGCAUUAGUAUUCAAUUGUCAGAGGUGAAAUUCUUGGAUUUAUUGAAGACUAACUACUGCGAAAGCAUCUGCCAAGGAUGUUUUCAUUAAUCAAGAACGAAAGUUAGGGGAUCGAAGACGAUCAGAUACCGUCGUAGUCUUAACCAUAAACCAUGCCGACUAGGGAUCGGAUGAUGUUAAUUUUUAAUGUA